rnacentral:rRNA from 1 species
UACGUAGGGUGCAAGCGUUGUCCGGAAUCAUUGGGCGUAAAGAGCGUGUAGGCGGCCAGAUAAGUCCGCUGUGAAAUCUCGAGGCUCAACUUCGAGCUGUCGGUGGAAACUGUCUGGCUAGAGUCCGGUAGGGGACCAUGGAAUUCCUGGUGUAGCGGUGAAAUGCGCAGAUAUCUGGAGGAAUACCGGUGGCGAAGGCGGCAUCCUGGACCGGCAUUGACGCGUGAUGAGCGAAAGCCAGGGG